rnacentral:rRNA from 1 species
UCAGAUUGAACGCUGGCGGCAUGCCUUACACAUGUUAGUCGAACGGCAGCACGGAGCUUGCUCUGGUGGCGAGUGGCGAACGGGUGAGUAAUAUAUCGGAACGUACCCUAGAGUGGGGGAUAACGUAGCGAAAGUUACGCUAAUACCGCAUACGAUCUAAGGAUGAAAGUGGGGGAUCGCAAGACCUCAUGCUCGUGGAGCGGCCGAUAUCUGAUUAGCUAGUUGGUAGGGUAAAAGCCUACCAAGGCAUCGAUCAGUAGCUGGUCUGAGAGGACGACCAGCCACACUGGAACUGAGACACGGUCCAGACUCCUACGGGAGGCAGCAGUGGGGAAUUAUGGACAAUGGGCGAAAGCCUGAUCCAGCAAUGCCGCGUGAGUGAAGAAGGCCUUCGGGUUGUAAAGCUCUUUUGUCAGGGAAGAAACGGUGAAAGCUAAUAUCUUUUGCUAAUGACGGUACCUGAAGAAUAAGCACCGGCUAACUACGUGCCAGCAGCCGCGGUAAUACGUAGGGUGCAAGCGUUAAUCGGAAUUACUGGGCGUAAAGCGUGCGCAGGCGGUUUUGUAAGUCUGAUGUGAAAUCCCCGGGCUCAACCUGGGAAUUGCAUUGGAGACUGCAAGGCUAGAAUCUGGCAGAGGGGGGUAGAAUUCCACGUGUAGCAGUGAAAUGCGUAGAUAUGUGGAGGAACACCGAUGGCGAAGGCAGCCCCCUGGGUCAAGAUUGACGCUCAUGCACGAAAGCGUGGGGAGCAAACAGGAUUAGAUACCCUGGUAGUCCACGCCCUAAACGAUGUCUACUAGUUGUCGGGUCUUAAUUGACUUGGUAACGCAGCUAACGCGUGAAGUAGACCGCCUGGGGAGUACGGUCGCAAGAUUAAAACUCAAAGGAAUUGACGGGGACCCGCACAAGCGGUGGAUGAUGUGGAUUAAUUCGAUGCAACGCGAAAAACCUUACCUACCCUUGACAUGGCUGGAAUCCUUGAGAGAUCAGGGAGUGCUCGAAAGAGAACCAGUACACAGGUGCUGCAUGGCUGUCGUCAGCUCGUGUCGUGAGAUGUUGGGUUAAGUCCCGCAACGAGCGCAACCCUUGUCAUUAGUUGCUACGAAAGGGCACUCUAAUGAGACUGCCGGUGACAAACCGGAGGAAGGUGGGGAUGACGUCAAGUCCUCAUGGCCCUUAUGGGUAGGGCUUCACGCGUCAUACAAUGGUACAUACAGAGCGCCGCCAACCCGCGAGGGGGAGCUAAUCGCAGAAAGUGUAUCGUAGUCCGGAUUGUAGUCUGCAACUCGACUGCAUGAAGUUGGAAUCGCUAGUAAUCGCGGAUCAGCAUGUCGCGGUGAAUACGUUCCCGGG